UGAGGAAUAUUGGUCAAUGGGCGAGAGCCUGAACCAGCCAAGUAGCGUGCAGGAUGACGGCCCUAUGGGUUGUAAACUGCUUUUAUAUGGGAAUAAAGUGAGGGACGUUUCCCUUAUUGCAUGUACCAUAUGAAUAAGGACCGGCUAAUUCCGUGCCAGCAGCCGCGGUAAUACGGAAGGUCCAGGCGUUAUCCGGAUUUAUUGGGUUUAAAGGGAGCGUAGGCUGUUUGUUAAGCGUGUUGUGAAAUGUAAGAGCUCAACUUUUAGAUUGCAGCGCGAACUGGCAGACUUGAGUGCGCACAACGUAGGCGGAAUUCAUGGUGUAGCGGUGAAAUGCUUAGAUAUCAUGAAGAACUCCGAUUGCGAAGGCAGCUUACGGGAGCGCAACUGACGCUGAAGCUCGAAGGUGCGGGUAUCGAACAGG
rnacentral:rRNA from 1 species